rnacentral:rRNA from 1 species
GACGAACGCUGGCGGCGUGCUUAACACAUGCAAGUCGAACGGAAAGGCCCGGCUUUUGUGGGGUGCUCGAGUGGCGAACGGGUGAGUAACACGCGAGUAACCUGCCCUUGACUUUGGGAUACCUUCAGGAAACUGGGGCUAAUACCGGAUAGGAGCUCCUGCUGCAUGGUGGGGGUUGGAAAGUUUCGGCGGUUCGGGAUGGACUCGCGGCUUAUCAUCUUGUUGGUGAGGUAGUGGCUUACCACGGCUUUGAGGGGUAGCCGGCCUGCGAGGGUGACCGGGCACAUUGGGACUGGGAUACGAGCCGUAGGGCUACGUGGGGCAGCGACGGAGGUUAGUGCGCGAUGGGCGGAGGCCGGAAGGAGCAUUGUCGGGUGGGGGAUGACGGCCUGCGGGGUGGAACCCGCGUGCGCCUGGGACGAUGCGCGAGUGACGGCAAUGGGUAAGGAAGCACCGGCUAACUACGUG